UAGGCAUCAAAUUGGUAGGACUACCCGCUGAACUUAAGCAUAUCAAUAAGCGGAGGAAAAGAAACUAACAAGGAUUCCCCUAGUAACUGCGAGUGAAGCGGGAAAAGCUCAAAUUUAAAAUCCUUCGGGAGUUGUAAUCUGUAGAAGUGUUUUCGGUCGUUGCCUCGGACAAGUCUCUUGGAACAGAGCGUCAUAGAGGGUGAGAAUCCCGUCCUUGCCGAGCUCCCAACGUCUGUGUGAUACRCUUUCAAAGAGUCGAGUUGUUUGGGAAUGCAGCUCAAAAUGGGUGGUAAACUCCAUCUAAAGCUAAAUAUUGGCGAGAGACCGAUAGCGAACAAGUACCGUGAGGGAAAGAUGAAAAGCACUUUGGAAAGAGAGUUAAACAGUACGUGAAAUUGUUGAAAGGGAAGCGCUUGAAGUCAGUCGCGUUGCAAGGACUCAGCCUCACGGUGUAUUUCUUUGCAACGGGUCAACAUCAGUUUUGACCGCGGGAAAAGGGCUUGAGGAAUGUGGCAACCUCGGUUGUGUUAUAGCCUCCUGUCGUACAC
rnacentral:rRNA from 1 species